rnacentral:rRNA from 1 species
AGGAAUAUUGGUCAAUGGGCGCUAGCCUGAACCAGCCAAGUAGCGUGAAGGAUGACUGCCCUAUGGGUUGUAAACUUCUUUUAUAUGGGAAUAAAACAGGGUAUGCAUACCCUCUUGUAUGUACCAUAUGAAUAAGCAUCGGCUAACUCCGUGCCAGCAGCCGCGGUAAUACGGAGGAUGCGAGCGUUAUCCGGAUUUAUUGGGUUUAAAGGGUGCGUAGGCGGGCUGUUAAGUCAGCGGUCAAAUGUCGGGGCUCAACCCCGGCCUGCCGUUGAAACUGGCGGCCUCGAGUGGGCGAGAAGUAUGCGGAAUGCGUGGUGUAGCGGUGAAAUGCAUAGAUAUCACGCAGAACUCCGAUUGCGAAGGCAGCAUACCGGCGCCCUACUGACGCUGAGGCACGAAAGCGUGGGUAUCGAACAG